UGCCUGACGUCAGGGGGCGGGGUCCUGGCCGUGAAUUGGGGCGGCAUGGUGCCGUCCGGCCUUUUCCGCUCCGGGAUGCGGCGGAGUUGGGCUUUGAGGCAGCGCGUCUCGGAGGCUCGGUUCCCCGGGAGGCGGUGGCUGGUGGCUGGCUUGGGGAACCAUGGAAUGCCUGGCACACGGCACAGCGUGGGUAUGGCGGUGCUGGGGCAAAUAGCGCGGCGCCUGGGAGUGGCGGAGAGCUGGGCUCGUGACUCGCGCUGCGCUGCUGACCUUGCCCUGGCCCCGUUCGGGGAUGCCCAGUUGGUAUUGCUCCGGCCACGGCGCCUCAUGAACGUCAAUGGGCGCAGCGUGGCCCAAGCCGCGGAGCUGUUUGGGCUGGCUGCGGAGGAGAUCUAUCUGGUGCACGAUGAACUUGAUAAGCCCCUGGGGAAGCUGGCUCUGAAGCUGGGGGGCAGCGCAAGAGGCCACAAUGGAGUCCGGUCCUGCAUUAGCUGUCUGAACUCCAGUGCAAUGCCACGGCUGCAGGUAGGCAUUGGGCGCCCCACACACCCGAGUAUGAUCGAGGCCCACGUCCUGGGCCGCUUCUCCCCUGAGGAGCAGGAGUUACUGUCCCCGUUGCUGGAUCAGGCCGCCGACCUGCUUCUGGACCACAUCCGUGCUCGAAGCCAGGAGCCACCAGUGAGCCUCUGACACCAGUGGCACAUCUACCUGUUUGACUGCCUGCCGGUACCCUGAAGCCCAGACACAGCCACAGAACUGCCAUGACACGUGGCAUUCUGGUGACAGACAGGACACAGUGGCUGGCUGACGUCUUCCAGGAGCGAGUGUCGUGAAACAUGGCGUCACCCCCCGAGCCUCAGCUUCCUCGCCUGUGAGGUGGCAGGGACCAGCUAACACAGGCCUGGCGUGAUUGCGAUGCUGUCUUCACUGGUCUGCCUCCACGGCGAGUCUUGUCGGAGCUGGGUGGGAUGUGCUGCAGGACUGUCCUCCAAGCCCGACUGCCACCAUCUUCGUGAGUGGGCCUGCUUGCAAAGACUAUUCAGCUGAGCUCACUGACUGCUGACCCUCCCUCACAGGAGAGGAUGGGAGGGCCACUGGACCCUCCUGUGCAUCCAGCCACCCCUCGCAAGCAGCCAUACACAGUUCUGCCCUAACUGCACAUGACCUCAGGAAGGGGCUAGUAUACACAGGUUGGGAAAUCUAGGCAAGGGGCUCCAUCUGUGUAGCCAUGGGGAAGUCCUCCCUCCCAUUUCCUGUGAGAUGGCUUUGUCCCCCACGUUCCCACUUGUGACCCCUCACUCAGGCUCUGUGAGUACACCCAAUAAACUCAUUGGGUCCCUGGGGGGACCCAUGGUGGGAUCAA